CAAUAUCUCAAUUAGAGAAAGGUUUGAAAACCGGAUUUUCCUAUAUUUCAAGAUUUCCAAAUCAAAGCAAAGACAAGUGAUAACCUUUUUUUGUCAGGUGAACUGCCAACUGGGCUUCAAAGGCCCAACCAGCUAUGCUAUUCCAAAGGAUGCCAUUCAGAGAAAUGAAAGAAACAGUUGAUCAGAUUGAUCCUAUCGUGAUUCAACGCCCACAUAGCGAACUCUCUGUUUUAAUAAUAAUUAUUUCCAAAGCAGAGCACCAAAGCAAUGCACACCUUGACCUCAGGUUUUGGCUUCUGGAAGCCCCUACUGCCUUGACAUUUAGCCCCCACAAUUUUAUACAACAAGAAAGAACAACAAAUAUUAAUAAUUCAGAGUCGAGAUAGCAAAAGUUAUAAAUUCAAUCAAUCAAAACAAGAACAGUCGAAUACAGAAGCAAAUUGCUCAAAUAAUGAGCUAUUUUAAAAUUUUGCUUCAAAUAAUGAGCUAAUUUAAAAAAAAAAUGAAAAAUAAAAAUGAUUUUCAUCAACAACACUCGGAGGAUGACGUCAUAGAUAUCCAUUUAAACAAACUUAACCAAAAAGUCCAAGCACAUCGACAACAGUUAAAAAGUCAAAGAAAGAUCGGUUUUUUACCUGCCUUGGUCAACCCAACAAAACGAGGGGUAAGCCCCAAUUCUGAAUUCAAUCAACGAUCUGGUUCUUAUAGGCCCAGAAGAAAAGAACUAACUAACAAAUAAUUAAUAAUAAUAAAUCAGAAAUAAGAAAUCUUGGUGAAUUUAAUUAAUUGCAAAGGCCCCGGCGUUCAUCAUUUUUCAUCAGAAAUCGGAGAAUUACGUGGACGAUAUAGAGGAGGAAUUAAUGUUGAUCGACCGAUAGAAAUAUUCUGCUAGGGUUCUUAUAUGAGCGAAUGGGGAACUGCUGAUGCUGCCGCUGCUGCUGCUGCUGCUGUACUUUUGAUUAAUUAAUUGGGAACCCGAAGCUGACGAGGGUAUUUGUGAAAUAAUGUUUGUGGAUUAUGGUUAUUUUAGGUAAUAUAUCAAGCCGAUUCCUUCUGGCACACAUUUUUCUUCGGCUAAUAUUCCACAUGGCGUGGCAUCUUAAUUGAAAUUGAAUCCGACCCCCACUG
rnacentral:lncRNA from 1 species